rnacentral:rRNA from 1 species
ACGACGCUGGCGGCGUGCCUAAUACAUGCAAGUCGAACGGUCUUUCUAUGGAAGCUUGCUUCCACUGAGAAGAUAGUGGCGAACGGGUGAGUAACACGUGGGUAACCUGCCCAUAAGAGGGGGAUAACAUCCGGAAACGGGUGCUAAUACCGCAUAGUUUUCUUGAUCGCAUGAUCGGGAAAGGAAAGACGGCCUUUGUGCUGUCGCUUAUGGAUGGACCCGCGGCGUAUUAGUUAGUUGGUGAGGUAACGGCUCACCAAGACGAUGAUACGUAGCCGACCUGAGAGGGUGAUCGGCCACAUUGGGACUGAGACACGGCCCAAACUCCUACGGGAGGCAGCAGUAGGGAAUCUUCCGCAAUGGACGAAAGUCUGACGGAGCAACGCCGCGUGAGUGAAAGAAGGUUUUCGGAUCGUAAAACUCUGUUGUCAGAGAAGAACAAGUUGGAGAGUAACUGCUCCAGCCUUGACGGUAUCUGACCAGAAAGCCACGGCUAACUACGUGCCAGCCGCCGC